AACGAACGCCGGCGGCAGGCUUAACACAUGCAAGUCGAACGCCCCGCAAGGGGAGUGGCAGACGGGUGAGUAACGCGUGGGAAUCUACCCAGAUCUACGGAACAACAGUUGGAAACGACUGCUAAUACCGUAUACGCCCUACGGGGGAAAGAUUUAUCGGAUUUGGAUGAGCCCGCGUUGGAUUAGCUAGUUGGUGGGGUAAUGGCCUACCAAGGCGACGAUCCAUAGCUGGUCUGAGGGGAUGAUCAGCCACACUGGGACUGAGACACGGCCCAGACUCCUACGGGAGGCAGCAGUGGGGAAUAUUGGACAAUGGGCGCAAGCCUGAUCCAGCCAUGCCGCGUGAGUGAUGAAGGCCUUAGGGUUGUAAAGCUCUUUCACCGAUGAAGAUAAUGACGGUAGUCGGAGAAGAAGCCCCGGCUAACUUCGUGCCAGCCGCCGCUGUAACAC
rnacentral:rRNA from 1 species